rnacentral:rRNA from 1 species
GACAGAGGGAGCUAGCGUUGUUCGGAAUCACUGGGCGUAAAGGGCGCGUAGGCGGCCAUACAAGUCAGAGGUGAAAGCCUGGAGCUUAACUUCAGAAUUGCCUUUGAAACUGUAUGGCUAGAAUUUGUGAGGGGGUAGUGGAAUUCCUAGUGUAGUAGUGAAAUACGUAGAUAUUAGGAGGAACACCGAUAGCGAAGGCAGCUACCUGGCACAAUAUUGACGCUGAGGCGCGAAAGCGUGGGGAGCAAACAGG